rnacentral:rRNA from 1 species
CAGCCGCCGCGGUAAUACGAGGGGUGCAAGCGUUAUUCGGAUUGAUUGGGUGUAAAGGGUGUGCAGACGGCUUAUUAAGUCACUUGUUAAAUUCUUCGGCCUAACUGAAGGUCUGCAAGUGAUACUGAUGAGCUAGAGGAUGGAAGAGAGAAGUGGAAUUCUCAGAGUAGCGGUAAAAUGCGUAGAGAUGUGGAGGAACACCAGUGGCGAAGGCGACUCUCUGGUCUGUAACUGACGCUGAGGAGCGAAAGCGUGGGGAGCGAACAGGAUUAGAUACCCGAGUAGUCCCUGUCUCUUAUAC